AAAGUCGUAACAAGGUAACCGUAGGUGAACCUGCGGUUGGAUCAUUAUAAAAAGAAAUGCAGCCCAUUUGGGUUUGCAUAUCGUGUGGAACUGAAAACCUUGUGUGCACUGUUGACUCUGUCUUUGGUGGUGGGGAGGAGUGUGUGAUGCUUUGGCUACGUAAAGUCUGCUGGGGCUGCACACUCUCCUUCCUGGCUGGCAACCGACUGUGUUUGUCGGCCACGCCACCAGCAUUUGAGAACAUGUGAAUGUUGAUUUGUUAUUGUCAGUGAUUUUGUCUGACUCCAUUUUCUUGGAGAAAGCAAAAAAAUUAAUUAAAACAUUACACAACUUUUGGCAACGGAUCUCUUGGCUCUC
rnacentral:misc_RNA from 1 species